rnacentral:rRNA from 1 species
UGGGGAAUAUUGCACAAUGGGCGCAAGCCUGAUGCAGCCAUGCCGCGUGUGUGAAGAAGGCCUUCGGGUUGUAAAGCACUUUCAGCGGGGAGGAAGGUGUCAAGGUUAAUAACCUUGGCAAUUGACGUUACCGACAGAAGAAGCACCGGCUAACUCCGUGCCAGCAGCCGCGGUAAUACGGAGGGUGCAAGCGUUAAUCGGAAUUACUGGGCGUAAAGCGCACGCAGGCGGUCUGUCAAGUCGGAUGUGAAAUCCCCGGGCUCAACCUGGGAACUGCAUUCGAAACUGGCAGGCUAGAGUCUUGUAGAGGGGGGUAGAAUUCCAGGUGUAGCGGUGAAAUGCGUAGAGAUCUGGAGGAAUACCGGUGGCGAAGGCGGCCCCCUGGACAAAGACUGACGCUCAGGUGCGAAAGCGUGGGGAGCAAACAGG